CUGGAAUUUGGAUUAAAUGUAGCAGAAACUUGUCUACACUCAGAACUCAUAAAAUAGAGGUACCUUCCCGGCUGCCAGUUAGCGUGAUGGACCAAGACUUCAGCAUCACUUCUGCUGUGGGUCAGAGAGUUUUCCUGAUUGAUCCCACUGAAGAAAGUCCACACCUUGUGUGUCCAAGAACAUCCCACUGAGUUACUACAGUUUUGGAAAGGAAGCUCAGAAAGACGAUGACUGGAAGAGCUUCGGGCAGCAAAAGGAACUUCACAGCAUCUGAGACCCUGGACAUCUCAUUACAGGUCUCGUAAGACACACAGAUGCCAGAGCAAGGGGCAAUCAGCGGGCCUCUGGCCAUUGCCUCUAUUUCAAAGCAGUGCUUUUCAUCUGACUGCAAUCAAAUAAAAAAGAACAAAGAGAUGGACAUUUUGGAUAUGAGAUACUUAUUUUCCUGUGAUUUAUACAAUUCCAAAUGAAGAGCGAAAACAAAA
rnacentral:lncRNA from 1 species